rnacentral:rRNA from 1 species
GAUGAACGCUGGCGGCGUGCCUAAUACAUGCAAGUCGAGCGAACAGACGAGGAGCUUGCUCCUCUGACGUUAGCGGCGGACGGGUGAGUAACACGUGGAUAACCUACCUAUAAGACUGGGAUAACUUCGGGAAACCGGAGCUAAUACCGGAUAAUAUAUUGAACCGCAUGGUUCAAUAGUGAAAGACGGUUUUGCUGUCACUUAUAGAUGGAUCCGCGCCGCAUUAGCUAGUUGGUAAGGUAACGGCUUACCAAGGCAACGAUGCGUAGCCGACCUGAGAGGGUGAUCCGCCACACUGGAAGUGAGACACGGUCCAGACUCCUACAGGAGGCAGCGGUAGGGAAUCUUCCGCAAUGGGCGAAAGCCUGACGGAGCAACGCCGCGUGAGUGAUGAAGGUCUUCGGAUCGUAAAACUCUGUUAUUAGGGAAGAACAAAUGUGUAAGUAACUAUGCACGUCUUGACGGUACCUAAUCAGAAAGCCACGGCUAACUACGUG